ensembl:lncRNA
GGAAUGUGCUGCUCGUCAAAACUCCCGGAACUAGAGUACACACGCCGGUUUAUUGUGUAACUGACUCAUCUGUCCUCCGUGCAGCCUGCAGCAUGCCGACUUCUCCCGUGAAAACGCGGAUCCCCCUAACCAGCUUUGGUCACCUGAUCACAGAGGUGAAGAGCUGUGUGAUCCCCGCUCCCUGGUUGGACCACGACGGCAGAGGCGUGGCUGCAACCAGGAGUCCUGUGAUUGGUGCGGCGCUCACCAGGCUGACCAGCCGAAAACUGCCAACUCUUUUAAAAGAGUUAGCGCUUCAACUGAACGAGGCAGCUGACUUCCAGCGUGCCAUUCUGUGUUUCUGUGUGGUUGAGGCAAGAUUGUCUGUGUGGUUGGAAUUGGGCUAGGAUUAGUAUUACAAACUGA